rnacentral:rRNA from 1 species
UACGUAGGCAGCGAGCGUUGUUCGGAAUUACUGGGCGUAAAGAGUGUGUAGGCGGUGCUCUAAGUUCGGUGUGAAAUCUCCUGGCUCAACUGGGAGGGUGCGCCGGAAACUGGAGUGCUUGAGCGUGGGAGAGGAAAGCGGAAUUCCUGGUGUAGCGGUGAAAUGCGUAGAUAUCGGAAGGAACACCUGUGGCGAAAGCGGCUCACUGGACCAUUACUGACGCUGAUGCACGAAAGCUAGGGGAGCAAACAGG